GUCCCUGUUGCGCAGUGGAUAGUGCGUUGGACUUCUAAUACAAAGGUCGUGGAUUCGAAUCCCACCUGGAAUG
rnacentral:tRNA from 1 species